GCGGCAGGCGCAGUGGUUAACCUCGACUGGGUACUGGGACACAUGUUUGCGGACAUUUUAUGCAAAAUUCUCGGAAUGGGAGAUUGCGAAUUGGAAUUGGAACCGCGCUUCAGUUGAGAGUUGCAGUUUUUUGGCAGUGGAAUGCAACGAGUGGACAGCAGUACAUGAUAUUAAUGGACUUUAACAGAGGAUAAAUUUUGGACAAAUGUCGCAAGAGAGCUACUCUUAAAGGGUAUACUGAAAGCGCAUUCAAGUGGAAUUGGAAAUCGGGUACAAUAAAUCGAAAUAUUUGGCUAAAAAACAUACCGAAACCUGAAAAGAAGCAUAUUUGAAAAAAUGUUUAUAUAAAAUGUCAUCUACCGUGUAAUGAUAGAUGACGAUAAAGGAAUCGUACGGAUGAAU